GAAGGAAGAAAGGAAGGAAGGAAGGAAGGAAGGAAGGAAGGAAAUGGUAAUUCUCUUAAAAAUAUUCCUUUGGUCUCAGUAUCUUACAGAAAAUGAGGAAAGGCUUGUGAGAGCAGACCUGAACUCCAUUCUACGUCUGACCACUCAGCCCAACAUGAUGGCAGCAGCAACAAUAAUUACUGAGAAACUGCCAAAGUUUGAGCAGAGAAAGGCAGUAGGCAAAGGAGCUGUAGACUGAAAAACAAGUGAUGGAGCAAUGAUCUUCAGGAAGUAGACCGAGCAAAAUCUAAAACAUGAAUAGAGAACAAGUCAGAGUGAGAAAAGGGCCAACUCUUCGUCUCCUGAAAGAAGAGGUUAGGGGUAAAGCAUGGGAAAAGAUGCUAGUACUCUUGUAGAGGUCAGGGAGAAUCUAAGCAAAUUCCCACCUGUUGCCCUCAAUUUUUCUCAGUAAAGUAACCAGAAGUUCAUCUGCUAAGAGUUAGAAAGCAUAUCAUAAAAUAACAGAAUGAAUGUUUUCAAAUACCUAUUACAGACAACAAGAGACAGUGAUGACUAAGAACACAUAAAAUUCACCACACAAUAUUGGGACACCAGUUGAAAUAUGAGACCAUGAAUUUAUAACAAUAACUCCAAGUAGAGCUAUAAUUUUUCUCAAGUCCCAGCAGUUCUACAGUAGGAGCCAAACAGACAAACAGACUGACCCAAGGUUUGUUAAUACCACCAUUUAUUCACUCAUCAAUUAUUGAGCAUCUAAAUUAUACCAGGAUGGUUGAAAGGACUGAUGAAACAACACUAAGAGAUUUGUGGAAUGGACUAGAAAGAAAAUGGAACAAGGAAAGUUAACUAUGCAUUUUAGAUGAGACGAAGUUUGGCAAAUAGGUUAAACAGGGAAAGAAAUAGAGCCAGAAAAGAAGAAAUGAAGUGGCUGGGGGUUGGAGAAAGAAAAAAAUGAAGGGGAAAAAAAGGAAGGAGAAAAGAAAAAGGACAGAAAGUUAUAACCAGAGUACAGACACAGGCAUUUAGUAUUUCUGAAGAAUAGUAAGGUCCAGUAUCUGGCAAUGGGAAUAGGUUGCUGAAACAAGGUGUAGGUGAUGACUGCUGGAACUGAUGUAUGAUGAAGUGAGAGGUGACAAUGUUGCCAAGACAUUAUAUCCAGACACUCAGAUUGCCAAAGAUAAUACAGACAUGAAUAGGAUAAGAAAGAGUUGGUCAAAUUUCCUACUGGAUGUGGGUGAAUGACCAAGAUAUCAAUUAAGGAUAGAAGACAGACAAUAAAAUGAAUAAAAUAUAAGAUAAUUCCAUGAUGAAACCAUAAAGAAAAAUGUUUUCCUAUGCAGUUAAAAAUAUAAAAGCUCAAAAGCACUGCAUCCACUCUUGUAGCACAUGGACUGAAUAAGAAGCCAUAUUUCUAGAGAAAAGUCAGAACAUGCAGAGGAAGCAGUCUGUUAAAAAGUUGAGGGUAAGCUAAAACUAUAAAAGUCUUAGAAGAAAACACAGCCAUAAAUCUAUAUGAACCUUAGAUUAGACACUGAUUUCUUAGAUGUAAUGCCAAAGCACAAACAACAAAAA
rnacentral:lncRNA from 1 species